UACGGAGGAUGCGAGCGUUACCCGGAUUUAUUGGGUUUAAAGGGUGCGUAGGCGGGAUGCCAAGUCAGCGGUAAAAAUGCGGUGCUCAACGCCGUCGAGCCGUUGAAACUGGCGUUCUUGAGUGGGCGAGAAGUAUGCGGAAUGCGUGGUGUAACGGUGAAAUGCAUAGAUAUCACGCAGAACUCCGAUUGCGAAGGCAGCAUACCGGCGCCCUACUGACGCUGAGGCACGAAAGCGUGGGUAUCGAACAGG
rnacentral:rRNA from 1 species